AGAGCAGCCUAGCACUAUAGCACACAGCCAGCCACAGCCAGCGCCCAGCAGGUUGGCACCACCCUUGCAAGUCGCACCCACCACCACCCUCAGGACGUAAGCUUGUCAUUGAAACAACUUAUCUUAGAGAUUAUGGCAUCAAGGAUGGUGACCAGGUUAAUGAAUUUUAAGGCUUACAAUUUCAGUGAGGGGAGCUGGGAUGCUGGAUUGAUAGAAACAUGAAUGGUUAAUUUAUAAUCUGUUAUUAAAAAGAAGUUUGAUUAAAGUUGUACGUGAAUAUCCCCAUGAUUUUAUUCAAUUCUGAUACAUUGUUACCCUGCUAUUAAUCCAUUCAUCUCAAUGUCUGUUGUACUUA